rnacentral:piRNA from 1 species
CCUGGUAGAAUGAAAUGGCUCAGA